GCUGGGCGUGGUGGCGGGCACCUGUAAUCCCAGGUACUCAGGAGGCUGAGGCAGGAGAAUCGCUUGAACCCAGGAGGCAGAGGUUGCUGUGAGCCGAGAUUGCACCACUGCACUUCAGCCUGGGUGACAGAGUGAGACCCUGUCUCAA
rnacentral:SRP_RNA from 1 species